UACGUAGGGUGCGAGCGUUGUCCGGAAUUACUGGGCGUAAAGAGCUCGUAGGUGGUUUGUCGCGUUGUUCGUGAAAACUCACAGCUUAACUGUGGGCGUGCGGGCGAUACGGGCAGACUGGAGUACUGCAGGGGAGACUGGAAUUCCUGGUGUAGCGGUGGAAUGCGCAGAUAUCAGGAGGAACACCGGUGGCGAAGGCGGGUCCUCUGGGCAGUAAACUGACGUGGAGGAGCGAAAGCGUGGGGAGCGAACAGG
rnacentral:rRNA from 1 species